GUGAAUCAUCAAAUUUUUGAACGCAAAUUGCGCCUUUUUCGGAAGGCAUGUCCGUUUGAGGGCACCAUUUAACAAAUAAUGUGCAGCGUUUUUUGCUGCACACGUUGAUGAGCUUUCCAAGAAUUUUAAAUUUUUGGUGGCGCAUAAUGAACAGCGUGAAAGUUUUUUUCAGUUCGAGUGUAGUAAAAUCUUUGCUUGGGUUGUGAAAAGCGUAUUGCCCCAUUGGUGUUGCCAUUUUUUAUUUAUCCUUCCCCCAAUCCCA
rnacentral:misc_RNA from 1 species